AUCAACCUGGUCAACAUCUAAUGCUGAUUCCUCCAAGGUGAGAACCGAACUCUGCAACAGUUUCAGUAAAUAGCAUAAGCUAACAAGCAGGAGAUAUUGUUAACUGUAGAGAAUCUUUGACUAUUCUAUAUUGAGAAUCUUUAAUUAUUUGAUAUUAUUAAAUAGUAUCCUUAGAGAUUACAGCUGAUAUUAAAUAGUAUCCUUAGUUGUUAAAUCCUAUAUGUAUAAGAAAUAUAUACUUUGAGAGAGUGUUUUUCCUCAAUAUUAGACUAUUCAUCUCUAAUUUCAUCAUGGUAAUAGAUUUUUGAUCCGAUUUUUUAGAAUUUUUUUUCUGAUUAAAUUUUUUUUCCCACAAACCCUAGAAACACAAAUUUGGUUCUUUCCACCCUAGCCUUAUUUUUUCUUCUCACCGCCCCUACCAUUGGAGUUGGAAUCCACACACUGGCAAAACCCCAAACUUCGGUGACCAGAAGACCGACGUGUGGGCCCUACCCCCAUCGCAAGCUUCUGUUUCUCCGUUUCAUGCACCGCGCGUGGAUUCCACCUGCUGCCAACGUGUGCUCUCUGCUCUCUUUCGGUCAUUUUCCUCUAAAUGGUGGUGUGUUUUUGGCUAAGUUUUUUGUGUGGGCUAUAUUUGGUGUUUUUUUUUUUGGUAUUUUUGUUCUAAUUGUGCAAGCAGAUUUUUUUUUUGGGGGUUAGUUGUUUUUUUCCCAGCAUUAUGUCUACAGACGAGAAACUCGUGAUUCUAACCGAUAAUCCCUUAUUGCAAAUUAGACCUGUGCAGCUUGAUGGAUAUACUUACUUUGCUUGGUCAAGGUCCUACUUGUUGUUUAUCAAGGCUCGUGGCUCGCAAGGGUACCUCACUGGUAAAUUGUCGAAAUUUGAACUCACUGAUUUAACCUUUAGUCAGUGGGAUUCAACUAACUCUCUUAUUAUGGCAUGACUUAUCAACUCUAUGCAACCCCAUAUUUCCAAAACCUAUUUGUUGCUUGAUAUUGCGGAAAAGAUUUGAAAUGCUACUGCUCUUACCUACUCUCUUGUUGGGAAUGAUGCACAAAUUUUUGAGAUUCGUAAUAAGGUCCAUGGUACAAAAUAAGGAGAGCUAACAAUUUCUCAAUAUUUUGCUGAAUUAAGUGAGUUGUGGCAGGAACUUGAUUAUUAUCAAGAUUUUCAAGUGAAUUGUGCCAAGGAUGCCGAAAAAUUUCAAAAGAUGGUGGAAAAAGAAUAUGCUUUUGAUUUCUUGGCUGAGUUGAAUACUAAGUAUGAUCAGAUUCGGGCUCAAGUUCUUGGCAAGACACCGUUCCCUUCUCUUUAUAUGUCAUACUCCUAUGUACAACAGAAGGAGAGUUGUCGUGGUGUUAUGCUCUAUAAUCCACCUUUAAAGAAUGCUGGCCUUAUUGCUAACCAGGAUGGUCCAUCGGGUGGUAAGUCUACCUAGGAUCACUUGACGUGUGACUACUGUGGUAAGCCUCGGCACACUAAAGAUUCGUGCUGGAAGUUGCAUGGUCGUCCCAUUUGUGGUCGUGGAAAAUGAGGGGGUAAUUCUCGGCCUUAGGCAAAUUUGUUAUCUCGGCCUCUGGCAAAUUUGUUAUACUCUGUGACAAUAGAGAAUAAGUCCACUUAUGUUGAAAGUUUUACCUCGGACGAGAUUUAACAUCUUCGACGCUUUUUGUCUCAAUUGGACUCUACCUCGAUUGCCAAGUUUAAUCAUUUGAACUUAGGACCUCCAGACAGGGAAAACGGUUGGCAAUGGUAGAUUGUGUGAUGGCUUAUAUCUUCUAAAUCGAUAGCCUAGUAUAUCUCAAGCAUUAUUUGGAGACAAUAAAGAUGUCAACCAGAAGAUAAUUUAGUGGAGGCGGUUAGGAGAUCCAUCAUUUACUGUUCUUGCCAAGAUGCUUCCUAAUUUGUUUUCAAGAACUCAGUUAAACUCUUUAGUUUGUGAUGCCCUUGAGUUUGCUAAGUAUAUAAGAAAUAAUUAUCAUUUCCGUAAUAAUAGAAGUACUGUUCCUUUUGAGAUUAUUCAUUCGGAUGUUUGGGGCACUACUCGCAUUACUUUUUUAUCUGGUAAUAGUUGGUUUGUUACUUUUA